rnacentral:rRNA from 1 species
GACGAACGCUGGCGGCGUGCUUAACACAUGCAAGUCGAACGGAAAGGCCCUGCUUUUGUUGGGUGCUCGAGUGGCGAACGGGUGAGUAACACGUGAGUAACCUGCCCUUGACUUUGGGAUAACUUCAGGAAACUGGGGCUAAUACCGGAUAGGAGCUCCUGCUGCAUGGUGGGGGUUGGAAAGUUUCGGCGGUUGGGGAUGGACUCGCGGCUUAUCAGCUUGUUGGUGGGGUAGUGGCUUACCAAGGCUUUGACGGGUAGCCGGCCUGAGAGGGUGACCGGCAAAAUUGGGACUGAGAUACGGCCAAGACUCCUAAGGGAGGCAGAAGUGGGGAAUAUUGCACAAUGGGCGGAAGCCUGAGGCAGAACCGCCGCGUGCGGGAUGACGGCCUUCGGGUUGUAAACCGCUUUAGCAUGUGACGAAGCGUGAGUGACGGUAAUGGGUAAAGAAGCACCGGCUAACUACGUG